GAUGAACGCUGGCGGCGUGCCUAGUACAUGCAAGACGAGCGAACAGACGAGGAGCUUGCUCCUCUGACGUUAGCGGCGGACGGGUGAGUAACACGUGGAUAACCUACCUAUAAGACUGGGAUAACUUCGGGAAACCGGAGCUAAUACCGGAUAAUAUAUUGAACCGCAUGGUUCAAUAGUGAAAGACGGUUUUGCUGUCACUUAUAGAUGGAUCCGCGCCGCAUUAGCUAGUUGGUAAGGUAACGGCUUACCAAGGCAACGAUGCGUAGCCGACCUGAGAGGGUGAUCGGCCACACUGGAACUGAGACACGGUCCAGACUCCUACGGGAGGCAGCAGUAGGGAAUCUUCCGCAAUGGGCGAAAGCCUGACGGAGCAACGCCGCGUGAGUGAUGAAGGUCUUCGGAUCGUAAAACUCUGUUAUUAGGGAAGAACAAAUGUGUAAGUAACUAUGCACGUCUUGACGGUACCUAAUCAGAAAGCCACGGCUAACUACGUG
rnacentral:rRNA from 1 species